AGGUAAGCUACUAAGAGCGAAUGGUGGAUGCCUUGACUGGUAAAGGCGAUGAAGGACGUACUAGACUGCGAUAAGCUACGGGGAGCUGUCAAGAAGCUUUGAUCCGUAGAUUUCCGAAUGGGGCAACCCAAUGUAUAGAGAUAUACAUUACCUAUAUAGGAGCGAACGAGGGGAAUUGAAACAUCUUAGUACCCUCAGGAAAAGAAAUCAAUAGAGAUUGCGUCAGUAGCGGCGAGCGAAAGCGCAAGAGGGCAAACCCAGUGCUUGCACUGGGGGUUGUAGGACUGCAAUGUGCAAGAGGUAAGUUUAGCAGAACAUUCUGGAAAGUAUAACCAUAGAGGGUGAUAGUCCCGUAUGCGAAAAACAAACCUUAGCUAGCAGUAUCCUGAGUAGGGCGGGACACGAGGAAUCCUGUCUGAAUCCGGGUCGACCACGAUCCAACCCUAAAUACUAAUACCAGAUCGAUAGUGCACAAGUACCGUGAGGGAAAGGUGAAAAGAACUGAGGUGAUCAGAGUGAAAUAGAACCUGAAACCAUUUGCUUACAAUCAUUCAGAGCCCUAUGUAGCAAUACAGGGUGAUGGACUGCCUUUUGCAUAAUGAGCCUGCGAGUUGUGGUGUCUGGCAAGGUUAAGCAAACGCGAAGCCGUAGCGAAAGCGAGUCUGAAUAGGGCGCUUAGUCAGAUGCUGCAGACCCGAAACGAAGUGAUCUAUCCAUGAGCAAGUUGAAGCUAGUGUAAGAACUAGUGGAGGACUGAACCCAUAGGCGUUGAAAAGCCCCGGGAUGACUUGUGGAUAGGGGUGAAAGGCCAAUCAAACUUCGUGAUAGCUGGUUCUCUCCGAAAUAUAUUUAGGUAUAGCGUUGUGUCGUAAUAUAAGGGGGUAGAGCACUGAAUGGGCUAGGGCAUACACCAAUGUACCAAACCCUAUCAAACUCCGAAUACCUUAUAUGUAAUCACAGCAGUCAGGCGGCGAGUGAUAAAAUCCGUCGUCAAGAGGGAAACAACCCAGACUACCAGCUAAGGUCCCUAAAUCUUACUUAAGUGGAAAACGAUGUGAAGUUACUUAAACAACCAGGAGGUUGGCUUAGAAGCAGCCAUCCUUUAAAGAAAGCGUAAUAGCUCACUGGUCUAGUGAUUUUGCGCGGAAAAUAUAACGGGGCUAAAGUAAGUACCGAAGCUGUAGACUUAGUUUACUAAGUGGUAGGAGAGCGUUCUAUUUGCGUCGAAGGUAUACCGGUAAGGAGUGCUGGAGCGAAUAGAAGUGAGCAUGCAGGCAUGAGUAGCG
rnacentral:rRNA from 1 species